GUGAACUACGGCACACGCUUCCCUUUCUCUUCCACUUCGACCCAGCAUGACCUGCGCAUACUCAAAAGUUUGCAGUGAGUCUGAGGCAAACAUUAGCAUAGUAGUACAGAGUUCGACUCUCAGUAAAAACAUCACACAUCUAUCAAGUAUAAGGAAUAUUUUUUUAGGCUCGACUCCUUUGUUUUUUUUUUUUUUCCCACACACGGUCGCGAGAGGUCCGAGAAAAGAAAGGAAGACAUAUUGUUCAUCAAACACACGGCAUGAACAACAUGUUGGCAAUCCACCGUGCAAAAAUCGAGUAAGUGUUUGAGUGUUGUCUACAGACUGUGUGUAGUUUCAUGCAAGCCAGACAAUUUUGUUGUGUAAGUGUGUGGUUAUCAAUUCAACAUCUUCCAUACUUGAGGCUAGUAUUGCAAUCACAGACUUUGAGAGAGCGGUCACCAAGCUACACUAUUAUACUCGGUUACAAAAAUAGUAUCACAAUAUAGACCAUUCAAUAUUGAGCACCAGGGAAGGCUAGCAUAUAGCCUUAGUUGGCUACAUUCAUUGUCUGGGCAAUGCUCUCAUGGUAGCAGAGGGUUUGUGUGGUGGACACAGUGUUGGCAAUGUUUUCUCACUCACAAGCUCUCCGACAUCUACCACACGUGGGUAUUCCAAAAAAAAAAAAAAAAAUCACACAGCACUUGCUUACACAGACUAAACUGAUAAUAGUUAGAAAAAUAGUUUUGUUUUUAACACUGAAAACGCAAAGAACCCACCCCUACCCCCCUCCCACCCCACAGUUCUUUACAAAAUAGUUUCUUUAAGACUUAAACAAGGUUAUCAUUUGAGGUUAAGCGAGAUCAAACCUUUUGUUUUUAAUCGCCACCAGACCCUGUUGACCAGGAUUCGACAAUCAGAAGUGUGUUCAAGUCAGUCCAUGUAUACAUCUACUACGGACUCCUCUUGUUUUUGGAGGUUAUAAAGCAUCAGCUUUGGUUAGACAUUUUAAAAUCGCUUGCAUCGUUUGGAAAAGGAAAGGUCAAGAGUCGAACACACCACUGUUUGAGACAACCGUCCCCAGAACUCUGCAAAUUAAUGCACAGAACACAGCUUAUAUAUGAGAGUGAUUAUUGCUUACUGGAGUUACAUGAGGUGACUUUUACCCGAGAUAAUUCCAAGCCCUUAUUUAAAUUCUGCUUCACGGUUGGAGAGGGAUCUGAGGUUAAAAAUGCAAUCUUAAAAUGGUGCGUGGAACAUAAAUCUGCAUUAAAACAGCUACAUUUUCAAGUCGGGAUGGUAAACUAUGAGGCAAAGUCUGAUAAAGAACAAACCAUUGUGUUUCAGGAGGUUCAAAAUAAAAUCUUUAUUUUGAACCUCAUCAGAACCUUAUCCAACCACCAAGCUCAGAAGUGAAAAUAAGGGCAGGACUUCAGUGCCGCGAGCUGUACCCAGCGACUGGUUAAAACUCAAAUAUAUAAAUCAUUAUUUGCCACCUGAGUGCAGCUCGGGCUUCUUUCAGAAAGUGUGGAAGUGGUUGUUGUGUUGUGAAAACUAGUCAAUGGGACCCUGAAAAAUGAGUCGUGUCCAGCCUGGGGUGCUGAGUGCGGUGGAGCAGAAUGGGCACACUGGUCUGAAGGCGUGUGUCCCGUGAGGCAGCGGGGUCUCGGCCCAGUACCUGACUGUUUUCUCGGAGCAGACGUGGCCGCACGGCACGAAAGCGUGAGUGGGAGCGCCGGCGUCUACGUACACGGCCGGCUCGCAGCCUAACCACAGAGGCACGUAGGGACCCACGCUUCUGCAGAGGGGACAUUCUCGGCGAGUGGUGGAGCCCUCGCUGUCUCCCGGCUCCUCCACUCCUUCGGAUCUCUGACCCCAGUCGUGCCGUCCGUGGACGUGGCCACAGGUGAGGUAGACCCAGGGCUGUCGCUCUUCGAGACUAAAAGGACACAUCCAAAGCUAAGAUCACCAAGUCACAGAUCAAGAGGUUGAGAAACAGACUAUAAAUGUAUUCACAUAACUCAAAUGGGAAGAUAACCUCUAUCACAGACCUGGCCAAUCCGCGGCUCCCGAGCCGCAUGCGGGUCUUUCCCCAGUCUCAUGCGGCUCAUUUUGCGAGCUGCCGAACUGGCUGCUAUUUUGGUCAAGUUGCUGUUGAGAUGAUCGUUUAUACAGGAAAUAAGACGAAAAAGUAAGAACUAUUCCGGCAAAAUGCCAAAAUAUUGUUCAAAGGCUUUGACUUGCGUUUAACUUUGAAAUAUGAACAAUAAACCUCGCCGCACGUGCUCUAAGCAGGUGGGGAGGGGGUGCUAGGAGCACGUUCAGUGCCGCUGAAGAGGAGCGCCAUCACAUCCACGAUUUACAUGACCUAGUUCCACAUUUCACUUUGUCAAUCCCUGAACUAAACAUGUGUUUCACCUGCUGUUCAUUGUUGAUCUUCGAAGUCUGUUUAAUUCACUGGAGUGAAGAUGAGACACUCCAGUCUGCAGCGUCCCUCACACACACAGACCAGGGCAUGAGCCACGUAAAAAAUAUAUAAGUAAAAUAAAUGGCACACACAUUUCUAGCUACACCGCUAGAUAUUCCAAGGAGGAUCACGGUAAAAUGUAUGAAUUUGAAAUUUGAAAAAUGCAUGCACAAGAGACAUACGCCAGAUGCGAACCAGAACCUUGUGACACACAGGGAUGUGCUUCAACCGCUAUACUGCCGCUAAGUCACAUGACCAGCUGUUCAGGUCUUACAUAUUUGUAGGAUGUGGCUCCUUUCAGAAACACAGUGGCUCUUAGCCUCUGACUGGUUGGCCACACCUGCUCUAUCACCACUGUGUGUUUUUGAACACCCAAGACGUUUUUUGAAGAUUUUCGUUCUCGAGCCCUCUGGCGCCCCCUAGGGAGACACACUUUCUAUUGACGACUUUCUAGCCACUUCUAUUCUUAAAAGGAAAACUCCCAAACAUGGCAGUUGAUUUAAAGGUAACUGACAUCCGACCUGUUGUUGGGCCUCACCUGUGGCUACGUGGCAAACUAGGGAAGGCCAGUGUGCUGAGGCCGACGGGACACUGAGGGCGAGAAGCGUUGAGUUCCUGCCGAAGCGCUUCGAGGUGACGCAAGGUGGGGGCGCGCAUCAGGCCCUCACCGGUGCGCCAAAGCAAAGUGGCGCCGCACAGAUCCACCAGAGAGCCGUCCUGCAGUGCGCUGCUCUCUCCUUCAGCCUACAGCACAAAACAAACACAGGACCCGAGCGAGUCUCCCGCAGGGCGUAGACAUCCCCACAGACCGAGAUCUCCCUCCACAGACCCUGCCGGGGGUUCUCAGGGAAGCCUUCUGGGUGCAUCACCAGGACUCCAUUUGUGUGCAGUCACCUGUUUGCCAGUAGGAAGAGAAACGAGUUGAAGAAAAGUCUGCUGCAAAUCAUUGAAUUUGUGGUUUGUUAAAACUUGACAAAGAAAUGUGUCCAUUCAGCCAUUCAUUAUCCUGUGUGUGUGAUCGCAGAUAUGUCGCAGCUAGGAUGAUAACAACAACAACAAACAUGGAGGAAUCCCUGAACAAAAGCAAACAAAAGCAUCUGUUUGCUUUUGUUCAGGGAGGUUUUUCGCAACACAAUGACCAGGGUUUCUACUACUCUGAAUGUACUUGAAAUUCUUAUAAAGUUGAAAUUCUUAUGCAAAUAUUUUCAAGACAUUAAAAGAGCUUUAGUUUAAAUAAGGUGAUAUAAAAACUUGAAUA